GACGAACCGUGCGAACGUUAUUCGGAAUCACUGGGCUUAAAGCGCGUGUAGGCGGGACGGCACGUCGGUCGCUGAAAUCCCCCGGCUCAACCGGGGAACGGGCGCCGAUACGACCGUCCUCGAGGGACGUAGGGGGACCUGGAACUUCCGGUGGAGCGGUGAAAUGCGUUGAGAUCGGAAGGAACGCCCGUGGCGAAAGCGAGGUCCUGGACGUUUUCUGACGCUGAGACGCGAAAGCCAGGGGAGCGAACGGG
rnacentral:rRNA from 1 species